rnacentral:rRNA from 1 species
UACGUAGGGUGCGAGCGUUAAUCGGAAUUACUGGGCGUAAAGCGUGCGCAGGCGGUGAGCUGUGUCCGAUGUGAAAGCCCCGGGCUUAACCUGGGAAUGGCAUUGGAAACUGGCUCGCUGGAGUGUGGCAGAGGGGGGUAGAAUUCCACGUGUAGCAGUGAAAUGCGUAGAGAUGUGGAGGAAUACCGAUGGCGAAGGCAGCCCCCUGGGCCAAUACUGACGCUCAUGCACGAAAGCGUGGGGAGCAAACAGG